GGGGAAUAUUGGACAAUGGGCUCAAGCCUGAUCCAGCCAUGCCGCGUGAGUGAUGACGGCCCUAGGGUUGUAAAGCUCUUUCAGUGGGGAAGAUAAUGACGGUACCCACAGAAGAAGCCCCGGCUAACUUCGUGCCAGCAGCCGCGGUAAUACGAAGGGGGCUAGCAUUGUUCGGAAUUACUGGGCGUAAAGCGCACGUAGGCGGAUCGGUCAGUUAGGGGUGAAAUCCCGGGGCUCAACCCCGGAACUGCUUUUAAUACUGCCGGUCUAGAGUUCGAGAGAGGUGAGUGGAAUUCCGAGUGUAGAGGUGAAAUUCGUAGAUAUUCGGAGGAACACCAGUGGCGAAGGCGGCUCACUGGCUCGAUACUGACGCUGAGGUGCGAAAGCGUGGGGAGCAAAC
rnacentral:rRNA from 1 species